AAAACUUGUAAACAUUGAUUGAUAAGUGGGAAGGGAAGGGGGUGCUUAUUGUUUAUGAAAAAAAGUAAUAAUUUUGAGUAUCCAAAUCAUUGCCUUGAACUUUUAGUUGAGGCAAACAAAUCUAAAUCUCCUGAUAAUCCAAGAUUGAUUACUACCAACUAAUCCAAUUCUCUUCUGAUAUUACCUAGACAUCAAUAAAACCCCACCUGAGGUUAUGUCAAAAGAAAUUCCAAGAAAUAGAUGAAUAAAAGGAAACAAAAAAGCAAUCUAAUUUGUCAGGCCACCAGAAGCAGCUUUAUCUGAUCUCUCUGUCUUUUUAAUGAUUCCAUAGCCCUUCUCUCUCCAAGAUUAUUUCACAAUAAAUCCAAGCUUCGAAAUAUAUAUAUUUUUCUUUCUUUCACACUCCUCCUCUUGCACCUGUUCCAUGCUUGUGCUUCUUUAUUGCUUUGUCUGUGUAUGUAAAACUUCUGCAACAUCUCAGCACUGGUGCAGAAAGUUUUGUGUCUCAGAUCCCAAUAUACUGCCCUCCGGCCCCCUUUCUAUCUAUCUCUCUUACACCACUAACAAGAAAGCACUGUUCUUUCUCUCUCUUUCCCCCUUGCAGCACCCAUUAAACACUGUAUCACUCUGAAAUACGAGUCUUUCUUGUGGUCCUAAAAACACUCUACAGUUACCUUUCGAUCUUCGCUCUCUUUGUAAUUUCCCCUUUUGUUUUGGUAUACUUCUAUCCCUUUACUUUCCUCCCUAUAUAUACAUACAUAUAUACAAAUAUAAUACAUAUUUUCUAUAGUCCUAACAGACAAAUGCAAGAACCAAACUUGGGUAUGAUGAGCAGUGGUAGCAGUAGGGCAAUUGGUGGUUUAAACAGUGUAGAAGUGUCUAUGUCUCCAACUGGAGACCAGACUCGCCAACUCAAGGCGGAAAUAGCUACCCAUCCUCUGUAUGAACAGCUACUAGCGGCCCAUGUGUCUUGUCUCCGCGUUGCUACACCGAUUGACCAGUUGCCUCUUAUUGAUGCUCAGUUAUCAGAGUCUCAGCAUCUUCUACGGUCUUAUGCUUCACACCAUAACCAAUAUGGCCGUUCUCUCUCUUCCCAUGAAAGGCAGGAUCUUGACAACUUUUUGGCGCAGUAUUUGAUAGUAUUGUGUAGUUUCAAGGACCAACUUCAACAACAUGUCAGAGUCCACGCUGUUGAAGCAGUGAUGGCCUGCCGGGAAAUUGAAAACACUUUACAAGCUCUCACUGGAGUAAGUCUAUGCGAAGGCACAGGUGCAACAAUGUCUGAUGAUGAGGAUGAUCUGGAAAUGGAUCUCUCUUUAGAUCAAUCCAGUGGUGAUGGGCAUGACCUCAUGGGAUUUGGUCCUCUGCUUCCAACAGAAUCUGAAAGGUCUCUCAUGGAGAGAGUUCGGCAAGAAUUGAAGAUUGAAUUAAAGCAGGUGUGUUUCCCAACUGAAGCUCCCCUAUUGUAUUCCAUUAACAGGGAUUUACAAGCAAGAAAAUUAUUUUGAGAAGCUAACUUAGCAAUCUUUUUUAAGCCAUAAUACUCUAAUAAUUGCAUUUUCAGGGUUUUAAAUCAAGAAUUGAAGAUGUCAGGGAGGAAAUAUUAAGAAAAAGAAGGGCUGGAAAACUUCCAGGUGAUACAACCAUAGUGCUGAAAAAUUGGUGGCAGCAACACUCUAAGUGGCCAUACCCAACAGUAAGCAGCCGGCCACCCUAGCCAAAAUUUACUAUCAAAACAUUAAGUUACAAAACGCCAUUUUCAGAAUUCUACUAGAUUAACUUUCUAGUAACCUUAUUAAAUAUGAUUGGAUAAUAGACAGAUAACCAGUAACCCUGAAGAUGUCAAGAUUCUGCCAAAUGUCUGGAAAGAAGUCGCUGCUAAAAAUGAUUAGUUUUAGCAAUUGCUUGGAUUGAAGCUAAAAAUGCAUAUAUUUUCACAAGCUGAAAACUAAAAUUUGUCAACAAAGUUACAUGUAUAUGAUACUUGCAGGAAGACGACAAGGCAAAACUUGUGGAGGAGACAGGCUUGCAACUAAAGCAGAUCAAUAACUGGUUCAUCAAUCAAAGGAAGCGAAACUGGCACAGCAACUCUCAAUCUGUGACAUCUUUGAAGUCUAAGCGAAAAAGGUAGACAAAACCAUUUAUUUUGCUUCAGAUGAAGACUCCCAGCAAAGAAGAAGGAACUAGUUUUGUGUUGAUACAGUUGUGAUGUGAUCGUGGGGUAAAUAGUACUACUACUCGCUAACAACCAGGAGUGUAAUAGAUGAACUUGAUAUAGCUUACACAUAAGGUUGUAGAUUCUUAUCCAUAACAGGAUAAUGCUAUUCUCUGUAUCGUCUCCCUUUUCACUCUUUACUGCUUCUGUAUAAUCUAUUCUCACACAUAUAUAUGGUUGUUGCUCCAAUUAUAACCCCUUUGAAAGAAGCCUAAGCUGAGAGGGUGGCCAUGAACACCUGAAUCUGUAAUUGAGAGCUUGGAACAAAACUUACCAUUACAAAGGAAUAUCAAGGGACAUACAUGCUGAUUCAAAGCUCCAAAAUUUACUAGAUUAGAG
rnacentral:misc_RNA from 1 species